AUGUGUGGUGGCUGGGGCUCGGCAGAUGGAGCUGUGCAGCUGUGCACGGCCGUGCGGGCAGGCCGGGGCUGGCUGCGGGGCUGCAGCGGGCUGAGCCCUGGCUGCCACGGCUGCUGCGUGGGUGCAGGAGCAGGGUGCGGGAGCCCCGGGGGCGGCUCUGCCCACGCUUGGCACAAAUUCGGGGCUGCAGCGCGGCGGGGCCCCCGCCUCUGUCCUGCGGGGCCGCGGUGGGAUGCAGGCGGAGCUGCGUGGGGGGCACCCAAGCCGUGGCACGUUGCGCCCCGAGGGGCGGCGAGGGCGUUCAGGCUCCAGCAGUGGGGUGGGGGGAGCUGGGGACACCGUGGGUUUGUGUCCUGCUGCCCGUGCUGCGCCCCCCCCUGUUGGCACAUCCCUGCGGCUGUGUACGCCUGGGCUGACGGCAACAGUCCUGGUGUGAAGGGAGCAAGGGGACGGCAGCCCUGGUGUGCAUGGGGAGCCCCGUGCUGUGCCCACGGGUCCUGUUCCUGUGUGCAGGGAAUGUCCUCAGGCUGGUCCCAGGGCUCAGCCCCCCACCAGCACCACCACAGACCCCUAAAAUGGGGCCAAGCUGUGGCUGGGGGGAGCAGCACGGCCCGGCACACCCUGCCUGAAGAUGGGCUGCAUUUGGUCCCUCGUGCACCACAGCCAGCUGGGCAUGGCACGAGUCCUGAUGCUGCCACCGAUAGGUUUUGGGAUGGGAAACUCACCAACACAGGCGGCUUCCUGGUGAAAUCUGCUCUGGGCAGGCAGGUGGGGACGUCCUGUGUGGGCCAGGGGGGUGCCGGCAUCUCAGCAGGUGCCAAAACGGCAUCAGAGGGACCUGGAACAGGGACUUGUGUGGGUGACAGCAGGGCCAGGACGCCCUCGGGAAGGGGAGCCCUUGGGGACAGGCUCCUGGGUCACUGUGGUCGCAGCGCUGUGCUCAGCCCCGUGCCAGCACCACCUCCCUGGCACCGAGGCUCGUUGCCGCUGGGCUUGGUUCCAGCGCCGCGGGCACGAUAA
rnacentral:lncRNA from 1 species